GAUGGUUCUAGGAUGGUUCUAGGUACUUUCAAGAAAUAUAGUUAACUGUAAGUGCUGUAUUUUAAUAAUCUAUCAAAAAUCAAAAUCAUCAGGAUAAUAUUACGUAUUGAUUUUCAAACAAGAAUUAGAUUACAGCGAUGGUCAAAAGCAUUUAGAUAUUGCUUUGAAAUCUACAGAUAAGGCAUGGCAGUUUCGUUUUAAAGAACAAGAUGUUAAAGUUUAUGAUAAAAUUGUCAUCAGAAAUACUGUCCACUUGCAGUAUUUACAUAGGAAAAUGUUGGAGGAUGAAGCUCUACCUACUGCCUCAGGUUAAUUUAAAUUCUGAGUUGCAACAACAGCAACAAGCAAGAAGGGCACCAUUAAAUGAAUAUUAUACACAUAUUAUUAUUAUUAUACAAAGAAAGAGUAAUGUUAUACACAUAAAUAUUAACAUUUUGUAGAGCAACAACAGAAUAAAAAACCAAAAUAUGAACACCAGCAACUAAAGCAGGAACCAUUAAAUGAAUAUUAUAUACAGAUCAACAUUUUGUAGAGCAAUAACAGCAUCAAAUAAUGGAAAUAAUGGACCUUAUUGCACAAAUCAAAAACAAAAUUUCAGCAUUACUACUUUAUUGGUUAUAUCAAUAAUAGAAAUUGAGUUUAUCAGUCUAGAUCCUACAAGCAAGCAGAUCUAUCACAUAAUUUUAAAUGAAGAUUUAUCUAUUAUAUAGUUAAACCAUCCGAGUACAAAACAUGUUUAAAAUCCACUAUUCUUAAUGAAUGGAAACACCAACUUGAGAGGAAGCUAAGAGAAAGGUUCUAUUGGGUGGACUACAAGGAAAAGGGACAUAUACAUGAGGAUCUGGAAGGGCUAUAACAUUACGUCUCAAGCCGUGGGACAAUAGGAAACGAAAUUCAAAGGAAAAUAUUACAAUACGUGGGAUGCAAAUUAUAGUGCAAAGAAUUGAGAAAAAGAAUUAUUAAAAGUAGUUACGAUAGUUAAACCAUCCGACUACCAAAUAUAUUUAAAAUCCACUAUUCUG